ACUCCAUGAAGCUGGAUUCGCUGUAAUGGCAGGUCAGCAUACUGCCGUGAAUACGUUCCCGGGCCUUGUACACACCGCCCGUCACACCAUGAGAGUUGGAAAUACCCGAAGCCUGUGAGCUAACUGUAAAGAGGCAGCAGUCGAAGGUAGAGCCAAUGAUUGGGGUGAAGUCGUAACAAGGUAGC
rnacentral:rRNA from 1 species